rnacentral:rRNA from 1 species
UACGAAGGGGGGCUAGCGUUGUCCGGAAUUACUGGGCGUAAAGAGCUCGUAGGUGGUUUGUCGCGUUGUUCGUGAAAACUCACAGCUUAACUGUGGGCGUGCGGGCGAUACGGGCAGACUUGAGUACUGCAGGGGAGACUGGAAUUCCUGGUGUAGCGGUGGAAUGCGCAGAUAUCAGGAGGAACACCGGUGGCGAAGGCGGGUCUCUGGGCCGAUACUGACGCUGAGGAGCGAAAGCGUGGGGGAGCGAACAGG